AUGGACCAGGCCGUAUCCCGAGCUAAUGUGGUGGUCAUGGAGGAAUGGACUCAUGUGGGUAUAGAGGACGGCACUGAAGCAAAACCUCACUCCAGACCUUAUAUGGUUUCUCUUCAGAUAAACAGCAAGCAUAUCUAUGGUGGAUUCCUCAUUACUGAACAGUUUGUCUUGACUGAUGCACAUUGCUGGGCAAAAGGUUUUGUCCUUACGGUUGUGGUUGGCGCCCAUCAUUUGAGUGAAAAUGAAAUUUACGACUCAUUUGAAGUAGAAUCCUACAUCCCGCAUCCAGACUAUAAUUCUAAUACAUUUGAGAAUGACAUCUUGCUUUUGAAGUUAAAUAAAAAAGUCAGACUGAGCAACAUUGUUGGACUGAUAUCAUUACCAAAGGAUGGAGAAGAUGUUGAAGCAAAUACUCUCUGUAGUGUUGCUGGUUGGGGGGAUCUGUGGGGAAAAGGCCCAGAGACUGAUCGUCUAAGAGAGGCAGAGACAGUUAUAGUGAAUAAUGCAGAGUGUGAACGCAGAUGGGGAUCUGAUUAUGUGGUCUCAAAGAUGAUCUGUGUUUAUGGUCAUGGUGGAUCCUGCAAAGGGGAUUCAGGAGGUCCUUUGGUUUGUGGAGACACCGUUAUUGGUAUCACUUCUUUCGGUGACCAGUAUCUCUGUAAUUCACGUUUGUUUCCUAAUGUGUAUACUAGGAUUUCAGCAUAUCUUCCUUGGAUCCAGAAAUAUUUAGUUAUUUCAUAA